UGAGGAAUAUUGGUCAAUGGGCGCGAGCCUGAACCAGCCAAGUAGCGUGAAGGAUGACUGCCCUACGGGUUGUAAACUUCUUUUAUAAAGGAAUAAAGUGAGGCACGUGUGUCCUUUUUGUAUGUACUUUAUGAAUAAGGAUCGGCUAACUCCGUGCC
rnacentral:rRNA from 1 species